CCUACGGGAGGCAGCAGUGGGGAAUUUUGGACAAUGGGCGAAAGCCUGAUCCAGCAAUGCCGCGUGUGUGAUGAAGGCCUUCGGGUUGUAAAGCACUUUUGGCGGGAACGAAAAGGACCGUGCCAAUACCAUGGUCUGAUGACGGUACCCGCAGAAUAAGCACCGGCUAACUACGUGCCAGCAGCCGCGGUAAUACGUAGGGUGCAAGCGUUAAUCGGAAUUACUGGGCGUAAAGAGUGCGCAGGCGGUUUUGCAAGACCGAUGUGAAAUCCCCGGGCUUAACCUGGGAACUGCAUUGGUGACUGCAAGGCUAGAGUGUGUCAGAGGGAGGUGGAAUUCCGCAUGUAGCAGUGAAAUGCGUAGAUAUGCGGAGGAACACCGAUGGCGAAGGCAGCCUCCUGGGAUAACACUGACGCUCAUGCACGAAAGCGUGGGGAGCAAACAGGAUUAGAUACCCUGGUAGUCCACGCCCUAAACGAUGUCUACUAGUUGUCGGGGAUUAAUUUCCUUGGUAACGCAGCUAACGCGUGAAGUAGACCGCCUGGGGAGUACGGUCGCAAGAUUAAAACUCAAAGGAAUUGACGG
rnacentral:rRNA from 1 species